UACGGGGGGAGCAAGCGUUGUUCGGAUUUACUGGGCGUAAAGGGCGCGUAGGCGGUCAGCACAAGUCAGUUGUGAAAUCUCCGGGCUUAACUCGGAAAGGUCAACUGAUACUGUGCGACUAGAGUGCAGAAGGGGCAACUGGAAUUCUCGGUGUAGCGGUGAAAUGCGUAGAUAUCGAGAGGAACACCGGCGGCGAAGGCGGGUUGCUGGGCUGACACUGACGCUGAGGCGCGAAAGCCAGGGGAGCGAACGGG
rnacentral:rRNA from 1 species